CUCAGGACGAACGCUGGCGGCGUGCUUAACACAUGCAAGUCGAACGGACCUUCGGGUUAGUGGCGAACGGGUGAGUAACACGUGGGUGAUCUGCCCUGCACUUUGGGAUAAGCCUGGGAAACUGGGUCUAAUACCGGAUAGGACCACGCAUUUUAUGGUGUGUGGUGGAAAGCUUUUGCGGUGUGGGAUGGGCCCGCGGCCUAUCAGCUUGUUGGUGGGGUAAUGGCCUACCAAGGCGACGACGGGUAGCCGGCCUGAGAGGGUGACCGGCCACACUGGGACUGAGAUACGGCCCAGACUCCUACGGGAGGCAGCAGUGGGGAAUAUUGCACAAUGGGCGCAAGCCUGAUGCAGCGACGCCGCGUGAGGGAUGACGGCCUUCGGGUUGUAAACCUCUUUCGCCAGGGACGAAGCGCAAGUGACGGUACCUGGAGAAGAAGGACCGGCCAACUACGUGCCAGCAGCCGCGGUAAUACGUAGGGUCCGAGCGUUGUCCGGAAUUACUGGGCGUAAAGAGCUCGUAGGUGGUUUGUCGCGUUGUUCGUGAAAACUCACAACUCAAUUGUGGGCGUGCGGGCGAUACGGGCAGACUGGAGUACUGCAGGGGAGACUGGAAUUCCUGGUGUAGCGGUGGAAUGCGCAGAUAUCAGGAGGAACACCGGUGGCGAAGGCGGGUCUCUGGGCAGUAACUGACGCUGAGGAGCGAAAGCGUGGGGAGCGAACAGGAUUAGAUACCCUGGUAGUCCACGCCGUAAACGGUGGGUACUAGGUGUGGGUUUCCUUCCUUGGGAUCCGUGCCGUAGCUAACGCAUUAAGUA
rnacentral:rRNA from 1 species